rnacentral:rRNA from 1 species
CACAUGCAAGUCUCAGCACCCCUGUGAAAACGCCCUUUAAACCUUACCAGGUUGAGGAGCUGGCAUCAGGCACAUAAUUCUCGCCCAUAACGCCUAGUCCCACCACACCCCCAAGGGUAUUCAGCAGUGAUAAAGAUUGCCCAUAAGCGCCAGCUUGAAUCAGUUAGAGAAAAGAGAGCCGGCCAACCCGGUGCCAGCCGCCGCGGCUACCCCGUCGGGCUCAAAUUGACAACAAUCGGCGUCAAGCGUGAUUAAAGGAGAUCAAAAUAGAGUUAAAUUUGAACUUAGCUGUGAAAAGCUUGCCCUCAGAGACCCACAAACGAAAGUUACUCUAAUUCACUACCCUUGAACACACGACAGCUCGGAAACAAACUCGGAUUAGAUACCCCACUAUG